rnacentral:rRNA from 1 species
UUAAUGGAGAGUUUGAUCCUGGCUCAGGACGAACGCUGGCGGCGUGCCUAAUACAUGCAAGUCGAGCGGGGUUAUGUAGAAGCUUGCUUCUACAUAACCUAGCGGCGGACGGGUGAGUAACACGUAGGCAACCUGCCCACAAGACAGGGAUAACUACCGGAAACGGUAGCUAAUACCCGAUACAUCCUUUUCCUGCAUGGGAGAAGGAGGAAAGGCGGAGCAAUCUGUCACUUGUGGAUGGGCCUGCGGCGCAUUAGCUAGUUGGUGGGGUAAUGGCCUACCAAGGCGACGAUGCGUAGC